rnacentral:tmRNA from 1 species
AAACGAGGACUUAAAUUAAACGCUAACAAUAAUAGCAAUUUAGCUUACGCAGCUUAAUUUAAGCUGCCGUCCUGCCUGGGAGCACCACGGCCCGGGAUAGGGCGUCGGAAGUGGUGAACGUGACACGACAAAGCUUUGAGUCGUGCAUGACAAAUGAAGCUACUGAAGCUGUAAGCCUGUUCAUGGGCGUGCAGCGGAGGGAAUGACAAAACAUGAACUGCACCCGGAGAUGCUCUUGUGAAUACGGUUUCGGACGCGGGUUCGAGUCCCGCCGCCUCCACCA